rnacentral:SRP_RNA from 2 species
GCCGGGUGUGGUGGUGCGUGCCUGUAAUCCCAGCUACUUAGGAGGCUGAGGCAGGAGAAUCACUUGAACCCGGGAGGCAGGGAUUGCAGUGAGCCAAGAUCACGCCACUGCACUCCAGCCUGGGCGACAGAGCAAGAUUCUGUCUCAA